UACGAAGGGUGCAAACGUUGCUCGGAAUCAUUGGGCGUAAAGCGCACGUAGGCGGCUUCGCAAGUCGGAUGUGAAAUCCCUCGGCUCAACCGAGGACGUGCAUACGAAACUGCGGAGCUUGAGUACUGAAGAGGAUCGCGGAAUUCCCGGUGUAGAGGUGAAAUUCGUAGAUAUCGGGAGGAACACCAGUGGCGAAGGCGGCGAUCUGGGCAGAUACUGACGCUGAGGUGCGAAAGCGUGGGGAGCAAACAGG
rnacentral:rRNA from 1 species